CCCUUAGAUGUUCUGGGCCGCACGCGCGCUACACUGAUGCAUUCAACGAGUUCCUACCUUGGCCGAGAGGCCUGGGCAAUCUUUUGAACUUGCAUCGUGAUAGGGAUAGAUUAUUGCAAUUAUUAAUCUUGAACGAGGAAUUCCUAGUAAACGCAGAUCAUCAAUCUGCAUUGAUUACGUCCCUGCCCUUUGUACACACCGCCCGUCGCACCUACCGAUUGAAUGGUCCGGUGAAGCCUCGGGAUUGUGGUUAGUUUCCUUCAUUGGAAGUUAGCCGCGAGAACUUGUCUAAACCUUAUCAUUUAGAGGAAGGUGGAGUCGUAACA
rnacentral:rRNA from 1 species